UAAACGAGCUUUUCUAAAAGCCACAGCACAUAUUCCACAACUGAUUUU
rfam:Oryza glaberrima chromosome 2 Oglab02_0252_2, whole genome shotgun sequence.